GGUAAUGUGGCCGAUAAAAGGUGAUAAACUGUAAAUUUAUUUAUAAAACAGAUGUUUUCUUUACCA
rnacentral:tRNA from 1 species